GACGAACGCUGGCGGCGUGCUUAACACAUGCAAGUCGAACGGAAAGGCCCUGCUUGCCGGGUACUCGAGUGGCGAACGGGUGAGUAACACGUGGGUGAUCUGCCCUGCACUUCGGGAUAAGCCUGGGAAACUGGGUCUAAUACCGGAUAGGAGCCAUUUUUAGUGUGAUGGUUGGAAAGUUUUUUCGGUGUAGGAUGAGCUCGCGGCCUAUCAGCUUGUUGGUGGGGUAAUGGCCUACCAAGGCGGCGACGGGUAGCCGGCCUGAGAGGGUGGACGGCCACAUUGGGACUGAGAUACGGCCCAGACUCCUACGGGAGGCAGCAGGGGGGAAGAUUGCACAAGGGGCGCAAGCCUGAUGCAGCGACGCCGCGUGGGGGAUGACGGCCUUCGGGUUGUAAACUCCUUUCGCUAGGGACGAAGCUUUUUGUGACGGUACCUAGAUAAGAAGCACCGGCUAACUACGUG
rnacentral:rRNA from 1 species